rnacentral:miRNA from 1 species
GUGUGUGUGUGUGUGUGUGUGUGUGUGUGUAUCUGUGUGUCACUAUGUGCCAGUGUGUGUGUAUCUCUGUGUCAGAUACAUAUACAUAGAUACACACACACACACACACACACAG